AUUUCUUGUCUGAAAUAUAAAGACUAAAGUCAUCAUACGAGUACAUCAUACAUAGUAUUAAAGUUCGAAACCAAAUUUUGGAUGUUCGGAUGUUCAGAAAGUGACGUCACCCAAAAUUUUUUCUCUCUUGAUCUAUAUAGACGAAAAUCAAUUGGCCGAAUUCUUCAGUCUGGAAACAACCACGCAGUAGAGCGGACGUAUGAGAAUCGCGCUCCGCAAAUUUCGAGUACCGGGUUCUCUACCUCCUGGAUCCUGCGCUCCGGGUCCGUUUCCUGGUGCAACUCGACUUCCAGGACAAGCGCCCCGUAGUUUCUGCGCUCCAGUUCUGGCUGUCCAGGUCCUUAACCUGGCGACUUUUGACCAAGCGCUGCGUACUUUCUGCGCUCCAGGUCCGCUACCUGGUGAAACUCGACUUCCAGAACAAGCGCUCCGUAGUUUCUGCGUCUAAGGUCCACUACCUGGUGCAACUCGACUUCAGGGACAAGUGCUCCGUAGUUUCUACGCUCCAGGUCCGCUACCUGGUGAAGCUUGAAUUUCAGGAAAAGCGCUCCAUGGUUCCAGCGCUCCAGGUCCGCUACCUGAUGAAACUCGACUCUCGGAGGACAAGGAAGACGAGGAGAACAAGGUGGACGAAGAGAACGAGGAUUUCUGCACGGUCGUUAUCGGUGGGUGUUGGAGGUGAUCUGAGGUGGACAAGAAGAAGGACGAGGAAGACGUGGAGAACAAGGUGGGGGAGGAGGACGAGGAUUUGUGCUCGGUACAACCGAAGGUGGUUAUCGGUGGUCGUCGGUCGUCGUUGGAGGUGGUCGGAGGU
rnacentral:lncRNA from 1 species